ensembl:lncRNA
UUUUACUAGUCAAUCAAAAGACCAAAUUAAACUGGGCACAUUCUCCCACAAAUGCAUGCACCAUCAGUGGGAAGACUGGGCAUACUUGGGGAAUAUGGGUAGGGGGACAUACAUCUAGAGUGAAUGUGUGGCUAAAGCACAUAUAUGUAAAGGGGAAAUUUAUGUCUUCAAAACUGUAAGACCACUUUCUGUUGAUGUCAUGAUACUGCUUCCUCUGGACUAGCUCCCUCCUGGUCUUGGGAGAUGUACAGUCUCUCACAAGGCUUGCUUCUUACCAGUCUCAUGGUCCAUACGGGAACAUGCUCCACUGACCCCUUUGUAGGUGCCUGGUGUGGGUCUGCAGGGCAUAUAUCUGUGGAAAUUCUUUCCAACUUUUGACUUUAAUUGGAGCCUUCUGCUGAUGUGCUAUUUCUUUUCCAUGUGAGGAAGAGUGAACUCUACCAUGUUCCUCCUGGCUUAGAGCCCAGAGGCUUAAACUUAAGCUCUUUUAGGGAAGCAAGUACUUCAUACAACAAAUAUCAGAGUAGGGAAAAAAACUUUUAGCUGCUUUCUUUCACAUAAGAAAAAUAUGUCAUUAGAAUCUUGGUCAUUAUCAGCUUUCCCUCUCCAAAAGGAAUUUUCUUGUCCCCUGACUACAAGCUCUUUUGGAGCACAAAACAGCCAGCCAACUAUUAUAACAUUGACAUUGUGCGGUUUUUCAUUUUAGCCUAAACUUUUUGCUCACAAGGGGCAAGAAUUUCUAUUCCAAGCCUCUAUCUGACUUGGAGUUAGAAAGUCCAUACGAUGCUUGCUUAAUUCUCUUAUGGAGCUUGCCCCAAGCCAUUUCAGGGAGGCUGUGCCAAUGAAACCCCACACAAUAUGGAUCUUACCUAUUCUAGUUUUUACGGGUCCCCCAAAUCCCAUGCAAAUGACUUUGGGCAAGCACGAAAACUAAUCCUAACGAUCCAAAUCAUUGUCUCCCCAGGCUUCUUCCACACCCCUGCCUUUAUCACUGUAUACCUGACCAUCAACAACUUUAAGCUGCAUCUGUAUCUUCUACACAAUAGGCCACAGCUGAUUUCCAAAGCAAGAAAUUAGAAGAUGGUUUUGGACACAUGUGACCUUGGCAUUGAAGAACCAGAAAAGUGCAAUUCAACUCAACAAACAUUUAUUAAGUACCUGCUUAAUAUUCAAGGCUGAAGCAGAGAGUAGGCAGCUGAGCAAGCCUCGAAAAGGACAAUUAGAAAGGUAAGUUUCAUCAUUUCAUCACUUGAAACUUUCUACUAUUUGCUGGAAACGAUAUCUUAUUAUUGUCCCCUUUUGAAUCUCUAGCCAUCCUUAAAAGUCCAACCUAAAUGCUACUUCUUCCAUAAAGCCUUCCUUGACUUCCCCAGUCAGUAAGGACUUCCUUUGAAGUCCACUUGAACUCCAUAUAAACACUUUUUUGCAGCUUUGUUCUACAUUUACCAUGCAGUGCUAUGUUUGUGUCUUAUCUUCCUACCAGACUGAGCUCCAAUGAGAGCAGAGUGAUCACAUCUUAGCAAAACUUUUUCUCUCCCAACAACUAAUAGCACUCUUCACCUAGUAGGCACUUAAUAAAUAUUCAGUUUAAUGGAUAAUAACA